UACAGAGGUGCCAAGCGUUAGGCGGAAUCACUGGGCGUAAAGAGCGCGCAGGCGGUCGUUCAAGUCGCGUGUGAAAGCCCCCGGCUCAACUGGGGAGGGUCACGCGAUACUGAUCGACUCGAAGGCAGGAGAGGGAAGUGGAAUUCCCGGUGUAGUGGUGAAAUGCGUAGAUAUCGGGAGGAACACCAGUGGCGAAGGCGACUUCCUGGCCUGUUCUUGACGCUGAGGCGCGAAAGCUAGGGGAGCAAACGGG
rnacentral:rRNA from 1 species